UACGUAGGGUCCGAGCGUUGUCCGGAAUUACUGGGCGUAAAGAGCUCGUAGGUGGUUUGUCGCGUUGUUCGUGAAAACUCACAGCUCAACUGUGGGCGUGCGGGCGAUACGGGCAGACUAGAGUACUGCAGGGGAGACUGGGAAUUCCUGGUGUAGCGGUGAAAUGCGCAGAUAUCAGGAGGAACACCGGUGGCGAAGGCGCCACUCUGGGCCGAAACUGACGCUGAGGAGCGAAAGCGUGGGUAGCAAACAGG
rnacentral:rRNA from 1 species